UCGCUGAUGAAGAGUCCCAAACUAGGACGAAACAGCUGUCCAGUAC
rnacentral:hammerhead_ribozyme from 1 species